rnacentral:rRNA from 1 species
UACGGAGGAUCCAAGCGUUGUCCGGAUUUACUGGGUUUAAAGGGUGCGUAGGCGGGCAGGUAAGUCCGUGGUGAAAUCUCUGAGCUUAACUCAGAAACUGCCAUGGAUACUAUUUGUCUUGAAUAUUGUGGAGGUAAGCGGAAUAUGUCAUGUAGCGGUGAAAUGCUUAGAUAUGACAUAGAACACCAAUUGCGAAGGCAGCUUACUACACAGUUAUUGACGCUGAGGCACGAAAGCGUGGGGAUCAAACAGG